rnacentral:rRNA from 1 species
CGCUGGCGGCGUGCUAAUACAUGCAAGUCGAGCGAACGGACGAGAAGCUUGCUUCUCUGAUGUUAGCGGCGGACGGGUGAGUAACACGUGGAUAACCUACCUAUAAGACUGGGAUAACUUCGGGAAACCGGAGCUAAUACCGGAUAAUAUUUUGAACCGCAUGGUUCAAAAGUGAAAGACGGUCUUGCUGUCACUUAUAGAUGGAUCCGCGCUGCAUUAGCUAGUUGGUAAGGUAACGGCUUACCAAGGCAACGAUGCAUAGCCGACCUGAGAGGGUGAUCGGCCACACUGGAACUGAGACACGGUCCAGACUCCUACGGGAGGCAGCAGUAGGGAAUCUUCCGCAAUGGGCGAAAGCCUGACGGAGCAACGCCGCGUGAGUGAUGAAGGUCUUCGGAUCGUAAAACUCUGUUAUUAGGGAAGAACAUAUGUGUAAGUAACUGUGCACAUCUUGACGGUACCUAAUCAGAAAGCCACGGCUAACUACGUGCCAGCAGCCGCGGUAAUACGUAGGUGGCAAGCGUUAUCCGGAAUUAUUGGGCGUAAAGCGCGCGUAGGCGGUUUUUUAAGUCUGAUGUGAAAGCCCAUGGCUCAACCGUGGAGGGUCAUUGGAAACUGGAAAACUUGAGUGCAGAAGAGGAAAGUGGAAUUCCAUGUGUAGCGGUGAAAUGCGCAGAGAUAUGGAGGAACACCAGUGGCGAAGGCGACUUUCUGGUCUGUAACUGACGCUGAUGUGCGAAAGCGUGGGGAUCAAACAGGAUUAGAUACCCUGGUAGUCCACGCCGUAAACGAUGAGUGCUAAGUGUUAGGGGGUUUCCGCCCCUUAGUGCUGCAGCUAACGCAUUAAGCACUCCGCCUGGG